UUCUUGAGAUGUGAGUGUGGUGCGAUGAACAGGGACGUACUCUGUACACUACAUGGACGCGAAGACUGCUCCGCGUCAUCUCCAUCCGCGAACACUGUCACUGCGGGUGCCAGUGCUGCUACCAUGGCUGCCAGUGGUCCUACCGCUGACACCGAUUGCUCCAUAGCUACUCGUUACCAUGGUUCCAUAGCUACUCGUUACCAUGGUUCCAUAGCUACUCGUUCCACUGCCACUUAUUUAUGCAGGUACUGCCUCUACCGGUGCUACUACUAGCGUUUCUACCGCAGUUACUGAUGACUCCGCAGCUACUGGCCCCACAGCUACUGUCACCACAGCUACUGGCCUCACAGCUACUGGCCCCACAGCUACUGGCCCCACAGCUACUGGCCCCACAGCUACUGGCACCACAGCUACUGGCCCCACAGCUACUGGGCCCACAGCUACUGGCCCCACAGCUAAUGGCCGCACAGCUACUGGCCCCAGUGUUGUUUCUGCGGCCUCUGGUACCGCUGCUGUUACUGCUGCUACUGGCGGUGGUUUGUCUGCAAAGCAGUGCUAUCACACUGUUGCCGCUCUGAAGCUUGGCGAUGUUCCCAUGUGUCCCAUUGCGUAUACUGAAGGACGCACCGCACCUCAGCUUGUCUCCCAAGACGCUCUCCGGUUCUGGAAGUCAUGGCAACAGGAUCCUGGACAUUAUGGUAUUGUGUGUCUGCCCAACAUAGGUAGUUCAACAUCCGUCAGUGCAGCAGAAUAAUCCCCAUCACCACCAUCAACACCAGCUCCUGACGAUCUUACCGAAUGGAAAUACAGCAAGAAGACUUUGCGGCAAGCUGAUCGUUUCGACUUGGCUACCCGUUUGAAGAAGGAACUAAACAAUGAACAACGAGUGGUGUACUCUUCAUAUUCCGACUAGAGGCUGGGUCUGUGCAUGCUUUUUACCAUCUCUCCUGCCUAUGCUGGCUGGUCAGUUGGAUAUCUCCUGCUCUGGCUGGUCAGUUGGAUAUCUCCUGCUCUGGCUGGUCAGUUGGAUAUCUCCUGCUCUGGCUGGUCAGUUGGAUAUCUCCUGCUCUGGCUGGUCAGUUGGAUAUCUCCUGCUCCUACGCCAGGUGUGCUGGCUGUUCUAGUAGGAGCGCUGGCUGUAUUCGCUGUGCUAGCUGUGAUGGUUGCGUUUGCUGUGCUGGAUGUACUGACUGCGCUUGCUGUGAUCUGGUCAUAGCUGUGCUAGGAGCACUGGCUGUGCCCGAUGCAAUGGCUGUGAUGCUUGUAUUGUCUGCACUGGCUGUGGUCUGGUCAUAGCUGUGCUAGGAGCACUGGCUGUGCCCGAUAUGAUGGCUGUGAUGCCUGUAUUGGCUGUGCUGGCUGUGAUGGUGUGUAUUGGUGGUAUUGGCUGUGCCCGAUGUGCCCAAUGUGCUGGCCUACUCUUUAUCACCAUGGCAAUAGCGAUGCCCUGGAGGCAGGUGGACUUUCACAAGUAGUUUAUAGUGGAGAUUCUGUUGCUAUCGUCUUGAUCAUCUUAUUACUUUCACCCUGAUGGUCGGAUUUGCUGGAAAUUUUGGUGAAUACACUUAGUGACGUAUGCAGCGAAGAGAUUUGCUUGGAAGCUAAAAUCUGGGUUCGUUGAACUCUUCGUGUUUUGACCAAAUCGUUUCUUACAGCUCACGUAAAUGUUCUGCAUUUCACCAACUGUUGGAUCCCAUGUUGAUGUAGAGCGGCUGUUAGCUUAACACUUUGAAAAACUUGAGAUUACUUGUAUAUUCUUCGUUUCCCCACUCUCACACACACAUGCAUGCUCACAGUCAAUCCUGUAGUCAUGAGUUCUAUUCGGAACAGAUACGAGAAUAAUAACAAUAAUAAUAUUCUUCCACUGCUGGCAUGUCUAUUGUGUCCAGCGUGUCACACACUAGUCGAGUGACUACUUAUCUAGUGCGGUUGGUGGCGUGAUGAUUAUGACUGGUGUAAUUAUAAUAAUGUGGUUGGUGGCGUUAUGAUUAUGACUGGUGUAAUGCGGUUCAUGGCUUGAUGA